rnacentral:rRNA from 1 species
UACAGAGGUCUCGAGCGUUAGGCGGAAUCACUGGGCUUAAAGCGUGUGUAGGCGGAUUGGUAAGUACCUUGUGAAAUCCCACGGCUUAACCGUGGAACUGCUUGGUAUACUGCCUGUCUUGAGCCAGCUAGGGGCGACCGGAACAAAUGGUGGAGCGGUGAAAUGCGUAGAUAUCAUUUGGAACGCCAAUGGUGAAAACAGGUCGCUGGGGCUGUGAUGACGCUGAGACACGAAAGCCAGGGGAGCAAACGGG